UAUAUUUAAAUUUAAAUAUAGUUGCACUUCCGGCAGAUAGAGGCAGCACCUACUGGGGCCUCGUGGCCUUUGAAUUCAAACUUGACUUGCGCAGUGCGGCGCAUGCGCAUUGUUUUUCCUGCCUUUUGUCGAGAAGACCGACGCCAUUAUCUUUUUCGCAAAUACAUAUUCUGGUGAAAACACGUGUUUUUCUAAAUCGUAUCAUUUUGUGCUCAUCUCGAGUUAUUAAUUAAAAAUAUUGAUAAAAGUCAAUUACGCACUCAUCAAGCUCCAUAAAAAUAUAAUUAUUUUCGUACUUGUGGGCACCAGAGCUCAAAAAUAAAAUAAACCAAGUUCAAGGACUCAAGUGAUCAACACCACGUUUUUUUCAAGAGGUUAAUUCGACGGAAAUCCUUACAGUUAUUAACUAAUAGAAAAAAAAGUUGCUUGAACCAAGAGAAAAAUUUCUCAGGAGAAAAGAUAUACAUGGAGGAGAGGAAAUUCACCAGUCUUCGGCAACAGCAGUGGGAGUAGUCCGGUGCUCGCCACUAGAUAGCGCCUACAACUUGUGUAGUGUCCCUGGUGGAAAACGAUACUGUCUGACAGAUAUAUGAACUUCGUCUACAGUCGGGAUAGAAUGUGUCAUCAUUGUUGCAGCUGGGAAAUCGUCUCCAGGGAGAUGAAAAACAAGCGGAAAUCCUCUCAUAUGUUCAUGUUCAUGCUCUCUUUCUAGAUCGUUUAAAUGAUCAAGUUGGAGACUAGAACAUAUUCGCUCAAGUCUAUCUUGAGCAGUUUCUGGGACGUCACUUUCUCCAGAGUUGUUACGUCCUCGUCACCCUUCAACCCUUUAUCUGAAGAUCUAGAGGUAAUUAAAUCAGAGCUUCAUAAGACGACGUUGGGUUGCAUCCUACCACAAGCAUGAAUGUAAAUUGUCAUCCAAGGUCAACAUCCAGGCACCACCGGAGUCUUAAUGAAGUUUUCUUUAAUUAUAUUUCUUAUUUUAUUAUUAUAUAUGGAUCAGGCGCAUAAGGCCAUGACAAAUAUUAACAAUAUUCUUAACUAUUUUAUUAAUUUUCAUUUAUAUUAUUUUCUUUAUUAAACGCGCAUGUACGCAUUUCGUAUAUAUGCAUGUAUAUAUUUGUGUGAAUCUGAGCUUGAGCGUAUAUGUCAUAUCCGUGGAUAUGGGUAUGUUCUCAUGGCCGUUCACACAUAUAUGUAUAUGUGUGUGUAUAAUGCGCUUAUAUAUUGUGCAUUUAUAUAUUAUACAUUUGUACGCAUACAUUCAGAUACAAAUACGUAGCAUAAGCUAUUAUAACAUGAUAGUUGUCGUAGUGAUAGAAUGAGAUAAGGCAAGAAGAAGCUCUUCAGGGUUUAUUCUCGCCUAAUACUCUGUGAUGAGAACCAACGUCUGAGAGGGUCAAUUUUACCCUUAAGAAUUUUCUUUCUAUGUUUAUAAUCAAGGAAUGAUUUCAUGUUUAGCACCCUGAACAGUUUUUUUAUAAAAAAAACUGAAAAUUUUAUAAAAUUAUUGUAUCACGUGUGCUAUCCAUCGAACUUAUUCCUUGGCUUUAUACUAAUAAAUUUAAACAAUAUUUACUGCUGAUGAGAUUAAAUAAAAUAACUUUAUAAUAAAAUUUUAAUGAGUCGAAUGAAAUUAAAUAUUUUAGAUAAAUAAUAAUUCUUAGAAGAAUAAAAGCAUCGAAAUAACCAAAAAUUGCAGUCUAAACAAAAGGCUGAGACUUCAUCUUGGCGUUGAU